AUGCACAGGGUUACAUUCAAUGCACAUGCUGACUUGAAGAAUGUUGUAUCCUCCGAGAAUGCUUCAAAAUCCAUGUUAACAGAAUAUUUCAAGGCAAACGAAAAACACCCUUGGGCAAGGCAUAUAUUGUACAAGGAUUUCCCCGGAAGCUUCACGUGGGAGAAGAAAAGGAAGUUCUGGAAGAUGCGGCGGGUGGAGCAUUUUCAAAUAGGUCGUAUCGUGUCUGCCAAUCCUCCUGAGGGGGAGCGAUACUACCUUCGUGUGUUGUUGAACCAUGUUACGGGGAAAACAUCAUUUGAAGACUUGCUCACCGUCAACGGCGUGGUAUGUGGGAGCUUUAGAGAGGCCGGUGAAAGGUUGGGACUCAUCGAGGCAGACAACACGCUCGACGACUGUCUUACUAAGGCGGAGCAGUGGGCUAUGCCAUGUUCUCUUAGGAGGCUCUUUGCAACAAUAUUGGUGCACUGCGAGCCAGGCGACGUGGCUUUAUGGGAUAGACACCUCGAGCCUAUGUCCGAUGACUACCGUCGGACACGCACGUCCCCGAACGAGGUGGAGCAGAUGGUGUUUCUUGACAUUAGGGGUAUGUUGCAGUCUAUGGGUAAAGACAUUAUUGAUUUCGCUCUUCCAACGACCGAUGAUGCGUUUGACCCAACCGAGGGCGAGGCCAGAGAGAUCAUCGAGGAAUCAACUAUUGAGUUUGACGAAAGUGACACUAAAUUGUCAUCUUCACUGAAUUUUGAGCAAAGGGCUGCAUACGACGAAAUACUAGCGUCUGUUGAACGUGGUGAUGGGGGUAUAUUCUUUGUUGAUGGUCUUGGAGGUACGGGGAAGACCUUCCUCUACAGGGCGAUGCUCGCCAAGGUGAAGCACGAGGGCAAGAUUGCUACCGCUACCGCGACGUCGGGUGUCGCUGCUUCUAUCAUGCCUGGCGGCAGGACUGCCCACUCAAGGUUCAAAAUCCCAUUGAGUUGCGAUGAUGGAGCAUCGUGCAACUUCACCAAGCAGAGUGGGGCCGCCAAGCUGCUAAGGGUGGCCUCAUUGAUACUAUGGGACGAGGCCAGCAUGACUAAGCAACAAGCGGUUGAGGCAUUAGACAAUAGCAUGCGCGACAUCAUGGGAAUACGCGGCCGACCCUUUGGAGGAAAGACUGUUGUUUUUGGCGGGGACUUUAGGCAGGUGCUUCCGGUCGUCAGAAGGGGGUCACGGGGCUAGAUAAUUGAUGCAAGCCUCCGAAAUUACUUGCUCAGGGUCGGUAAUGGCACUGAGGAAGCCGACGACCAAGGCAACAUAAUACUCCCUGAUGAUAUUUGUCUGCCAUCAACAGGUGAGGUUGACGACCUGGAGAAGCUGAUUGACCACGUGUUUCCAAGUCUAGAUGACAACAUGGCAGAUUCGAGUUACAUGACAUCUCGCGCAAUCCUUUCCACGGCAAAUGACAACGUCGACAAGAUAAACAUCCGCUUGAUAGAACGUUUCCAAGGAGAUGAAGUAAUCUACCAUAGCUUUGAUAGUGCGGAGGACGACCCAUAUGGCUACUACGCUCCUGAGUUUCUAAAUGGAUUGACUCCCAAUGGUCUUCCUCCACAUGCACUCAAACUAAAGCUGUACUGCCCUGUGAUACCUCUAAGGAACAUUGAUCCAGCUAAUGGUCUGUGUAACGAGACUAGGCUUGUUGUUAGAGGUUUUGAGAGGAACACCAUUGAUGCAGAAAUCAUGAUUGGACAACACGCUGGUAGGAGGGUCUUCCUUCCUCGAAUACCUCUAUGCCCAUCUGACAAUGACAUGUUUCCUUUCAAGUUUAAGAGGAAGCAAUUUCCUAUAAGUCUUAGCUUUGCUAUGACGAUUAACAAGGCUCAAGGGCAGACCAUCCCCAUUGUUGGUGUGUAUCUACCUAAUCCAGUGUUCUCUCAUGGUCAACUCUAUGUUGCUUUGUCUCGAGCCACCGUGAAGAGAAACAUUAAAAUACUUAUUCAGAAGGAGAAGCCAAAGGAUAAGGCCAACAAGCAACAUAACAACCCGAAGAAGCGUAAAAGACCGACCGUUUCCUUGCUGACUUCAAUGAAGAACAUCGUCUACAAGGAAGUACUUAUAGGAUGA
rnacentral:rRNA from 1 species